CCUACGGGAGGCUGCAGUGAGGAAUAUUGGUCAAUGGACGAGAGUCUGAACCAGCCAAGUAGCGUGAAGGAUGACUGCCCUAUGGAUUGUAAACUUCUUUUAUAAAGGAAUAAAACGAGGCACGUGUGCCUUUUUGCAUGUACUUUAUGAAUAAGGCUCGGCUAACUCCGUGCCAGCAGCCGCGGUAAUACGGAGGAUCCGAGCGUUAUCCGGAUUUAGUGGGUUUAAAGGGAGCGUAGAUGGGUUGUUAAGUCAGUUGUGAAAGUUUGCGGCUCAACCGUAAAAUUGCAAUUGAUACUGGCAGUCUUGAGUACAGUUGAGGUAAGCGGAAUUCGUGGUGUAGCGGUGAAAUGCUUAGAUAUCACGAAGAACCCCGAUUGCGAAGGCAGCUUACUAAACUGUGACUGAUAUUGAGGCUCGAAAGUGUGGGUAUCAAACAGGAUUAGAUACCCUUGUAGUC
rnacentral:rRNA from 1 species